UCCCCAGUGGUUUAGUGGUUAGCACGUUCGUCUCACACCUCCUGGGUUCGAUUCCCGCUGGGGCC